GUCGCACGAGAACGCUUCAGCUUGCUGAAGUAAGUAAAGUGGCGCACGGGUGAGUAACGCGUGGGUAAUCUACCCUCAAAUUGGGGAUAACCCGCCGAAAGGCGGGCUAAUACCGAAUGAUAUCUUGGGAACUUAUGUUUUUAGGAUCAAAGGUGGCCUCUACAUGUAAGCUAUUGUUUGAGGAUGAGCCCGCGUACCAUUAGCUUGUUGGUAGGGUAAUGGCCUACCAAGGCUGCGAUGGUUAGCUGGUCUGAGAGGAUGAUCAGCCACACUGGAACUGACACACGGUCCAGACUCCUACGGGAGGCAGCAGUGAGGAAUUUUGCGCAAUGGGGGAAACCCUGACGCAGCAACGCCGCGUGAGUGAUGAAGGCUUUCGGGUCGUAAAGCUCUGUCAAGUGGGAAGAACUCAUAUGGUGUUAAUAUUGCCAUGUGCUGACGGUACCACUGAAGGAAGCACCGGCUAACUCCGUG
rnacentral:rRNA from 1 species